GAAAAGAAACAUUGCUGCAAGCAUCACCACCACCACCACCGCAAAGACUAUGAUGAUGAGUGAGCAAACUGGCAAGUGGUGGUCUGUUAGGGGUUCAUGUUAUUUCAAUCCACUACUAUUACUGAAUCAGGGGUUGGCAUGCUUCCCUUCAGUGUUCGUGUGUUUUAAGCAUAUAUUGUUGCAAUAUCUUUGAGAGGAAAUAAAUAGACUAGAGCUAUGCAGACUCAAGUUAAUUGUGUGUGAGAUCGUCAGCCUUUUGCUUUGAUUGUAAGAUGAUAAGUGAAAUCCCAAAUACCUGGGAAGGUGUUGUGGAUAUUCCCCUUGUUUGAUUAAGUGCAGCUAAGAUGCUUUUUCAUGUCAAAGUUGAAAUUAUUGGCUUUGGUCUCCAUGACUUGCUUUUGUGGCUUUAAAGUUU
rnacentral:lncRNA from 1 species